GAUGGCUGGGCCACAACCAACAGACUGGUGUGUCCCAGCCAUCUCUGGGUGCAUAUCUCUUUGAGUGGCUCACUCUCAAGCAUGACUAGAAGGCCCCCUUGCCUUCC
rnacentral:pre_miRNA from 14 species